rnacentral:tRNA from 1 species
GCCGAAUGGCGGGUAGACGCACCGGACUCAAAAUCCGGCGAGACUCAAAUCUCGUAAGGGUUCGACUCCCUUUUUCGGCA